GCGUGCGGUCACUCCACAUUAUGAUCGUACGUACAUAAAAGAAGGAGGAUUAUUCCCGCGGCUCGCGGUGCGGCAGCGUGGAGACCUGUCGUAAUGCGGUGCAUCAACUAUUAUGAUGCCGCGAGGCGGUUUUGGAGGAGUCCUGACCGUCAGAGCAUAAUAAAUGU
rnacentral:ncRNA from 1 species